UAGAUUACCCACAAAAAAGGUCACGAGUUCCCUCAAAACCUCUUUUUUGUCAGCACAAAAACCCUUUAUACUUCCCCCAUUCAAUUUUCUCCAAUUUUUUUUUAGCUUUCAGUAAUGGAAAUAGUAACAAAGAAAGAGAGUGGUGGUAGUAGUAGUUGUAGUAAAGCAAUCCCAGAUUCAGUAAUGGAAGCAGUGAAAAGAACCUCAAAAAACGUUGAUGAUUUAAGUAAUAACUUAGAUGAAUUCUUGUCUCUUUAUGGUGCUGAUGUUUUCCCUGAAAUGGGUCCUCUUCAACAGGCUCAAUCUUUGCUUUUAUUAGCUAAAGCCACAACAACUCUGUUUGCAUUGAGGCUUAGAUGUAAAGGGGUGAAUCCAGAUGAACAUCCUGUCAAAUUAGAGUUUGAACGUCUGAGCUUGUACCAAGAGAAACUGCAGUACUUGAUGGACCUGAAUAAAGCGCCAUUGCGACCAUCAGCUAUGAUAAAUCCGCAAGCUGCAACACGAUUUAUCGAGCAUUCGUUGCCUGAUCUCACACCUGAGCAGAGGAGAAGCAUGCGAGAAAUCAGUAAAGGUGAGGGGACUAGGAUUAAGUAUGUUGAAAGAAUUGCUCAUAAGAAGAGGAAGUAUCCUGAGCAGCAAUCUGUUCGAACCGCUGCCCAAGAGUUUCUUGAGAAAGCGUCCCGUGAGCUUCUUGGUGAAAACCAAAGUGGUUUUAAGGGACCUUUACAACUGCCUGAGGGUGAUGGUGAAGAUCUACCUAUGAGCUGAUUUUCUGGUAUCUCGUGGAAUUAGUCAAGGUGCGUGCAAGCUGGCCCGAACACCAUGGUUAUCAAAAAACAAAGAAAUUCUCUUUUGCUGACGAAGUGAUGCGAGCCAUUGCGAGGUGCGUACCAGAUUGAUUGUUGAUGAGCUCUUCAAGCAUCUCCUUCGAUUUCCAGCCUAUCAAGAAGAUGCUCAGAUUGUUCACAAGCUUUGCCAGCAAAUUUCUACUUUUACCCCUGCACGUUGAUGCAAGUUAAAUUUUGAUUAUGAAGAAUAUAGUGUAUUUUCAUAUUCAGUUAUGAAUCCAAAGUUGCUCCUUGUUUUGCUGUAAAGUUUGUUUGUUGUAAGAGAACAAACAGGUUAGGAAAGGAACAAUUAGCUGGCAGUUUUAUGUACAAUAGUGCAGCAAAAACUAGAAACUCUCUCUUUGUUUUGCAUGGAUCCUUUUGCAUUAGGAGCAAUGAAGCUAGUGUGUCUAUUUAUUCACUUAUUAUGAGGAUGGUGAAGAAGAUUGUAUGGUUAGGGUAGAAGAAAAGCAAGCUUAUUUCAGAUCCAGAUUUAGUACAGAAAAGGGUCAGAUUGCUUGUU